AAUCCUAAUAAAAAUCUUAAUGAAUCUUAACCAAAUCUAAGAUCAAAUCCUAAUUGAAAUCUUAAUUAAAAUCCUAAUAAAUCUUAAUUAAAUCUUAGAUCAAACCUUAAUGAAACCCUAAUAAAAUCCUAAAUCCUAAGCAAAUCUUAAACCAUAAUCUUGGACUAAAUCCUAAUAAAAUCCGAAAUUCUAAACAAUUCCAAGAAAAUUCCAAGUAAAUUUCUAUCAAUUAUUAUAGUUAUUUGAAACUUCAAUAAAUAUUAAUUGAACCAUAGAUAUUAAUUAAAAUUCAUCCAAAAUUUAAUUAACAAGCAAUUAAUAAGAAAACAAAGUUUAAAAAGAAUUGGACUUACCAAUUGUAAGAA
rnacentral:lncRNA from 1 species